rnacentral:rRNA from 1 species
GACGGAGGUCCCGCGCGUUGUUCGGAAUUAUUGGGCUUAAAGCGCGUGUAGGCGGAGCGGUAAGUACCUUGUGAAAUCCCCGGACUCAAUCCGGGAACUGCUUGGUAUACUGCCGUUCUCGAGGCAGGUAGGGGUCACUGGAACCUUAGGUGGAGCGGUGAAAUGCGUAGAUAUCUAAGGGAACGCCUGUGGCGAAAGCGGGUGACUGGGCCUGUCCUGACGCUGAGACGCGAAAGCGUAGGGAGCAAACGGG